CACCUCGCCUCGCUCGACCCGCUCAUGUACAAGAAUCUUCUCUACUUGAAGACGUGUGAGGGGGAUGUGGCAGACCUCGGACUGGACUUCACCGUCGUCAAUGAUGAGCUGGGGGAAACCAGGAUUGAGGAUCUGGUACCUGAUGGUCGGGACAUUCUUGUUACGGAGGCCAACCGCAUCAAGUACAUGCACCUGCUCGCAGAUUACAAACUUAAC